rnacentral:misc_RNA from 1 species
UAAUGAGCUCAUUAGGAGGAUGAACUAGAAUUUGUUCCUGAGUUCUAUGUUGUUUCUGAAUUUAGUCCCUAAGUUUACCUUGAUUUUGGCAAGAGUAGUAUUGAGUAACAUUGAGUUUGCAGUUUUGCUAAACUAUUUAGUUGACUUUGCAGCUCUGCUUAUUUUCCUGUUUUCUGUUUAUGUCUUCAAACAAGAUUUGUG